rnacentral:rRNA from 1 species
AGGACGAACGCUGGCGGCGUGCUUAACACAUGCAAGUGGAGCGACGAACCAGGCUUCGGCCUGGGGCAAAGCCGCGAACGGGUGAGUAACACGUGGGUAACCUGCCCCGAUGACUGGGACAACCCGGGGAAACCCGGGCUAAUACCGGAUGUGCUCUCCUCACAUCAGUGAGGUGCGUAAAGGAAGCUUCGGCCUCCGCAUUGGGAUGGGCCCGCGGCCCAUUAGCUUGUUGGUGAGGUAAUGGCUCACCAAGGCUGCGAUGGGUAGCUGGUCUGAGAGGACGAUCAGCCACACUGGGACUGAGACACGGCCCAGACUCCUACGGGAGGCAGCAGUGGGGAAUCUUGCGCAAUGCGCGAAAGCGUGACGCAGCAACGCCGCGUGGGGGAAGAAGGCCUUCGGUGUAAACCGUCUUCAGGAGGACGAAGCCGACGCCGGUUAACAGCCGUGCGGGUGACGGUACCUCCAGAAGAAGCCCGGCUAACUACGUGCCAGCAGCCG